UUUUAGGUUUGACGAUACUUCACCUUUCUCAUUCCUCAGACUCCAACCCACUUUGAUUCUGAAAGAUUUGACUGUUAUUUCCGGUCAGUCAGCUUGCCGAAGCAGUCAGAUUUCCGUCAUACUACUCUGAAUAAAAAUGGCAUCAGGAGAUGAGCUUCCAUCACAUCUCACUGUCGAUACCUCCAACGUUCAAAUUCUUAACUCUGAGACCUCAAAAAGACUCGUCGAAAAUUUUGUAAUCGCUCUCAUGAACAAGGAGCGUUUCUACAUCCGCACAUUCUUUUCGACAUACAAAGCAUAUACCACUGCUGAAAGUGUGUUGUACAUCCUCCU